ACAGUGAAGAUGGAGAAAUAUUCAAUAAUGAAGAGCAUGAAUAUGCAUCCAAAAAAAGGAAAAAGGACCAUUUUAGAAAUGACACAAAUACUCAAACUGAUAUUCCACACGAUGGUGUAGCAGACACUUUCCAAGGUCACCACCCAUCUCGCAAAAGGAAAUUAAAUCUGAUUCACAGAGCAGACCACAAAGAGCAUGUCUGGACCUAGAACCACAGCAGGUAACCUCGGAAGCAGUGAGACACCAGCCAGCAUGGACAAGCAGCAGGCACUUGCUCUAUACCAGUGGCAUGGCUAUUGCACCUUGGGAGAAGCCUUUAAUCGGUUAGACUUCUCAAGUGCAAUUCAAGAUAUCCGAAGGUUCAAUUAUGUGGUCAAAGUGCUGUUGUAGGAGCAAGGGAUACAAUGAUGAUCAAGGCAGAUGCAGCCGUUACCUUCAGGUCGUGGAGUCCGGAUACAGACUGGAGGCAGGCAGCUGUAAGAUGUGUGACAAAUGCUGCGCUGGAUCAGCCCAUGGUAUUAGGAGAGCAGGUAAGGAAGGGUGGGGACGGGAGCGGACAACCUGGAGGAAGAGGCACCUAAGCAGAGUCCAGAAGGCUGAGGAGGAGUCAGCAGGUGAAAGAGAGGGGAAUCAUGGCAUACCAUCUCAACUGUAGGGCACGGCUAGCUGGCUGACUUAGCUGCUGUAACACCGGAUUUUUGCAAGACUCCCUGAGUAUUUCUCGUGGAUUUGCGAACAAAUCUGAGCAAGAAAACCAUGUAAUUUCUUUUAUGCCCUGCCCAAGAAAGCCACCUGGAGGGGCA
rnacentral:lncRNA from 1 species